GAUGAACGCUGGCGGCGUGCCUAAUACAUGCAAGUCGAGCGAACGGACGAGAAGCUUGCUUCUCUGAUGUUAGCGGCGGACGGGUGAGUAACACGUGGAUAACCUACCUAUAAGACUGGGAUAACUUCGGGAAACCGGAGCUAAUACCGGAUGAUAUUUUGAACCGCAUGGUUCAAAAGUGAAAGACGGUCUUGCUGUCACUUAUAGAUGGAUCCGCGCUGCAUUAGCUAGUUGGUAAGGUAACGGCUUACCAAGGCAACGAUGCAUAGCCGACCUGAGAGGGUGAUCGGCCACACUGGAACUGAGACACGGUCCAGACUCCUACGGGAGGCAGCAGUAGGGAAUCUUCCGCAAUGGGCGAAAGCCUGACGGAGCAACGCCGCGUGAGUGAUGAAGGUCUUCGGAUCGUAAAACUCUGUUAUUAGGGAAGAACAUAUGUGUAAGUAACUGUGCACAUCUUGACGGUACCUAAUCAGAAAGCCACGGCUAACUACGUGCCAGCAGCCGCGGUAAUACGUAGGUGGCAAGCGUUAUCCGGAAUUAUUGGGCGUAAAGCGCGCGUAGGCGGUUUUUUAAGUCUGAUGUGAAAGCCCACGGCCCAACCGUGGAGGGUCAUUGGAAACUGGAAAACUUGAGUGCAGAAGAGGAAAGUGGAAUUCCAUGUGUAGCGGUGAAAUGCGCAGAGAUAUGGAGGAACACCAGUGGCGAAGGCGACUUUCUGGUCUGUAACUGACGCUGAUGUGCGAAAGCGUGGGGAUCAAACAGGAUUAGAUACCCUGGUAGUCCACGCCGUAAACGAUGAGUGCUAAGUGUUAGGGGGUUUCCGCCCCUUAGUGCUGCAGCUAACGCAUUAAGCACUCCGCCUGGGGAGUACGACCGCAAGGUUGAAACUCAAAGGAAUUGACGGGGACCCGCACAAGCGGUGGAGCAUGUGGUUUAAUUCGAAGCAACGCGAAGAACCUUACCAAAUCUUGACAUCCUUUGACAACUCUAGAGAUAGAGCUUUCCCCUUCGGGGGACAAAGUGACAGGUGGUGCAUGGUUGUCGUCAGCUCGUGUCGUGAGAUGUUGGGUUAAGUCCCGCAACGAGCGCAACCCUUAAGCUUAGUUGCCAUCAUUAAGUUGGGCACUCUAAGUUGACUGCCGGUGACAAACCGGAGGAAGGUGGGGAUGACGUCAAAUCAUCAUGCCCCUUAUGAUUUGGGCUACACACGUGCUACAAUGGACAAUACAAAGGGCAGCGAAACCGUGAGGUCAAGCAAAUCCCAUAAAGUUGUUCUCAGUUCGGAUUGUAGUCUGCAACUCGACUACAUGAAGCUGGAAUCGCUAGUAAUCGUAGAUCAGCAUGCUACGGUGAAUACGUUCCCGGGUCU
rnacentral:rRNA from 1 species